ensembl:lncRNA novel transcript, antisense to MBP
AGCCCCCAGAAAGCAAGAUAGAAAAGAAAUAUGCUCUUUACCGUGGCCGAUCAGCAACGAACCAACACUGUCCUCAUCUAAUUCUACGUCUUCCACACUGCCCAGUAACACAAAUAACCAGAGCGCAGACGCCAAGAAUCCUUCCAAGUAACGCAGCUAACAGACCAAGGAGCCAAAGCUCAGCCAGCCCGAAGGAGCCAGGAUUAGAGCCUGCAUGGAUGCAACAGUCACGCUUCUCUCUAUUACGUGUCUUGCAACUUGGAGUCACAUGAUCUCAGCAUCUGAUCCACCCUGGGCUCAGAACCUCCCAGAACCUCCCAGAAUCGAGGCUCACGGCAGAGGUUCUGCACUCACCAAGGACGCGGGGGGACCAUGUCUGUGCUCAUGUGGAUCCCCGCUGCUGGGCAGAGCACACCACACAUCCAGACUCAACAAAAUACAUGGAGUCAAAGGUCAGGUGACUGAAUCAAUGAGUAUGUUACACACCAAGAAAGACCCCUCCUCUCUGCACCCCGGGGAGCAGCCCCAGAAGCCUGGUCUCCUCCAGGAUGAAAAUGCAAACGCAGGUGCCUGGGGGCUCCCAGAGCCUUUGGCUUCACGGUUCCCUCCCGGCCCUGCCUGGAGCUUCAUGUGCCUCCCCUUUUGCUUAAUGAGAGCCGCUGUCUAAGAGUUAAGGGUUUUCUGGGUGACGUUUAACAAUAAUAAAGGUGACUGCUUAUCUAAGGAAUCCGAGCCGC